AUUGAACGCUGGCGGAAUGCUUUACACAUGCAAGUCGAACGGUAGAGGGGGCAACCCCUCGAGAGUGGCGAACGGGUGAGUAAUAUAUCGGAACGUGCCUAGUCGUGGGGGAUAACGUAGCGAAAGUUACGCUAAUACCGCAUACGAUCUAAGGAUGAAAGCGGGGGAUCGCAAGACCUCGCGUGAUUGGAGCGGCCGAUAUCAGAUUAGGUAGUUGGUGGGGUAAAGGCUCACCAAGCCAACGAUCUGUAGCUGGUCUGUGAGGACGACCAGCCACACUGGAACUGAGACACGGUCCAGACUCCUACGGGAGGCAGCAGUGGGGAAUUUUGGACAAUGGACGCAAGUCUGAUCCAGCCAUUCCGCGUGCAGGAUGAAGGCCCUCGGGUUGUAAACUGCUUUUGUACGGAACGAAAAGGUCUCUCUUAAUACGGGGGGCUCAUGACGGUACCGUAAGAAUAAGCACCGGCUAACUACGUGCCAGCCGCCGCCGUAA
rnacentral:rRNA from 1 species